rnacentral:lncRNA from 11 species
GCCACAGUUCCAAGUCCCAACAGCGUCAGGUGAGACCUCCUCGAGGACAGGCCAACAGUAAGAAGCAGUGAGAAGUGCAAAGAGGAAUAACAGCUCCAAGCCCCCGCAGUACUCCAAACAGGCCAGCAGCCGGCGAUAAGGCUCAUCCAGAACAGGUGAGCAGCAGCCCCGAGCCCUUGCCUGCCAGGGUGAACCCACAGUCGGCGGCAAACUCUCCCAGCUGAGCUGGCAACACAAAGGAACAGGGUCCCAGCCCAGCAGCUUUAGAACGAGCCAGCAACCUGAUGACGAAGCUUUUAUCCAGGCUUCUGACGGGGACCCACAAAGACCCUGGAUUCUAGGCUUAACCUCAGAAUGCUCUCACAAUGAGUACGUUGGCCAAAGGGAUCCUCCACCAACUAUAGCUGCAGUCUCAGACCUCACUGCAAAUGCUGCCGCGUCGUAUCCAGCAUCAGCCACAUACUGAAGCCAUGUCUCUGACUUAGAGAAGACACUUCGAAUCAUUUGAGGAGUAAAAUCUUCUGAA